CGGGUGAGUAACACGUGGAUAACCUACCUAUAAGACUGGGAUAACUUCGGGAAACCGGAGCUAAUACCGGAUAAUAUUUUGAACCGCAUGAUUCAACAAGUGAAAGACGGUCUUGCUGUCACUUAUAGAUGGAUCCGCGCUGCAUUAGCUAGUUGGUAACGGUAACGGCUUACCAAGGCCAACGAUGCAUAGCCGACCUGACAGGGUGAUCGGCCACACUGGAACCUGAGACACGGUCCAGACUCCUACGGGCAGGCAGCAGUACGGAAUCUUCCGCAAUGGGCGACAGCCUGACGGACCAACAGCCGCGUGAGUGAUGAAGGUCUUCGGAUCGUAAAACUCUGUUAUUAGGGAUAGACAUAUGUGUAAGUUAACUGUGCACAUCUUGACGGUACCUAAUCAGAAAGCCACGGCUAACUACGUGCCAGCAGCCGCGGUAAUACGUAGGUGGCAAGCGUUAUCCGGAAUUAUUGGGCGUAAAGCGCGCGUAGGCGGUUUUUUAAGUCUGAUGUGAAAGCCCACGGCUCAACCGUGGAGGGUCAUUGGAAACUGGAAAACUUGAGUGCAGAAGAGGAAAGUGGAAUUCCAUGUGUAGCCGGUGAAAUGCGCAGAGAUAUGGAGGAACACCAGUGGCGAAGGCGACUUUCUGGUCUGUAACUGACGCUGAUGUGCGAAAGCGUGGGGAUCAAACAGGAUUAGAUACCCUGGUAGUCCACGCCGUAAACGAUGAGUGCUAAGUGUUAGGGGGUUUCCGCCCCUUAGUGCUGCAGCUAACGCAUUAAGCACUCCGCCUGGGGAGUACGACCGCAAGUG
rnacentral:rRNA from 1 species